rnacentral:tRNA from 1 species
UAGGAUAUAGCAUAAUAUUAAUGUUUUUUGUUUACACCAAAACUAUGGCUCUUUAGCCUGUCCUAA